CCGCCGGUAGCGUUGUGGUUAUCGCACCAGACCGAUAUUCUGGAGGUCGUGGGUUCAGAUCCCACCCGGCGGG
rnacentral:tRNA from 1 species